rnacentral:rRNA from 1 species
UGGGGGAUAUUGCACAAUGGGCGAAAGCCUGAUGCAGCGACGCCGCGUGGGGGAUGAAGGCCUUCGGGUUGUAAACUUCUUUUGCUCUGAACAAGGCGCACCAUGGGGUGUGUUGAGUGUAGGGGUUGAUUAGCGCCGGCUAACUACGUGCCAGCAGCCGCGGUAAUACGUAGGGCGCGAGCGUUGUCCGGAAUUAUUGGGCGUAAAGGGCUUGUAGGUGGCUGGUUGCGUCUGUCGUGAAAGCUCAUGGCUUAACUGUGGGUUUGCGGUGGGUACGGGCUGGCUUGAGUGCAGUAGGGGAGGCUGGAAUUCCUGGUGUAGCGGUGGAAUGCGCAGUUAUCAGGAGGAAUACCGGUGGCGAAGGCGGGUCUCUGGGCUGUUACUGACACUGAGGAGCGAAAGCAUGGGGAGCGAACAGG